rnacentral:rRNA from 1 species
UUAAAAUAUUAAGGGCACACGAAGGAUGCCUAGGAAGUAAGAGCCGAUGAAGGACGUGGUAAGCUGCGAUAAGCUUGGUGGAGUUGCAAUCGAACUGUGAUGCCAAGAUUUCCGAAUGGAGAAAUCUGCUAAGAUGGAGUCUUAGCACGAAAGAGGGAACCGGGUGAACUGAAACAUCUAAGUAACCCGAGGAAAAGAAAGUAAAAACGAUCCCCUAAGUAGCGGCGAGCGAACGGGGGUGAGCCCAAACCGUAGAUGUGCCAAGGAUGCAGCCGUUGCAUCUACGGGGUAGCGGGAAGAUCGUCUGAAGAACUGCAAGGUAUUCGACAUUAUGAUACGCCGAACUGGAAAGGUCUGGAAAGGCCUGCCGUAGAGAGUGAAAGCCUCGUACAGGUAAACCGUAUCAAAUGUAUGAUCUCUCCCAAGUAGCACGGAACACGAGGAAUUCUGUGUGAAUCUGCGAGGACCAUAUCUCGUAAGGCUAAAUACUCUUACUUACCGAUAGCGCAUAGUACCGUGAGGGAAAGGUGAAAAGAACCCCGGGAGGGGAGUGAAAUAGAACCUGAAAUCGUGUGCUUACAAGCGGUCAGAGCCCUUUGGGGUGAUGGCGUGCCUUUUGGAGAAUGAUCCUGCGAGUUACGUUCAGUGGCAAGGUUAAGUUUAACGGAGCCGAAGGGAAACCGAGUCUGAAUAGGGCGACAUAGUCGCUGGGCGUAGACGCGAAACCUGGUGAUCUAAGCCUGUCCAGGGUGAAGCUGUGGUAAGACACAGUGGAGGCCCGAACUCACCGCCGUUGAAAAGUUGGGAGAUGAGGUAGGUUUAGGGGUGAAAAGCCAAUCGAACCAGGAGAUAGCUCGUUCUCUCCGAAAUGCAUUUAGGUGCAGCCUUGAGUGUUCAAUUAUGGGGGUAGAGCACUGAAUGACCUAGGGGGCAUACUGCUUACCGAAGUCAAUCAAACUCCGAAUACCAUAAUUCUAGAGCUCAGGAGUGAGACUAUGGGAAUUAACUUCCAUGGUCAAAAGGGAAACAACCCAGACCACCAGCUAAGGUCCCUAAUUAUAACUAAGUGGGAAAGGAGGUGGAGAUUCACAAACAACCAGGAGGUUGGCUUAGAAGCAGCCAUACCUUUAAAGAGUGCGUAAUAGCUCACUGGUCGAGAGUCUCUGCGCCGACAAUGUAACGGGGCUAAGUUAUAAACCGAAGCUGUGGAGUUGCGUAAGCGACUGGUAGGAGAGCGUUCUGUAGGCCGUUGAAGGAGAAUCGACAAGAGACUCUGGAGGUAUCAGAAGUGAGAAUGCAGGAAUAAGUAGCGAGAAUGGGGGCGAGAAUCCCCCACGCCGGAAGACCAAGGGUUCCAGGGUAAAGUUUGUCUCCCCUGGGUAAGCCGGGUCCUAAGCCGAGGCUAGAUUGCGUAGGCGAAUGGAAAACAGAUUAAUAUUUCUGUGCCACUGAUAUCAAGUGAUGGAGGGACGCAGGAGGUUAUGCACGCUGGCGAACGGAAGUGCCAGUUCAAGCAUGUAGCGUGGUCUAGUAGGAAAAUCCGCUAGACUAAACGUGAGGUGUGAUGAGGAGUCGUAAGAUGGAAGGUGCAAAUACCACACUGCCGAGAAAAGCUUCUAAGCGUUAUAAAGAUAUUAGUGCCCGUACCCCAAACCGACACAGGUGGUCAGGAUGAGAAAUCUAAGGCGGACAGGCUAACUCUCGUUAAGGAACUCUGCAAAAUAGCCCCGUAACUUCGGGAGAAGGGGUGCCUUUUAUGGUGAGCGUACACGCGACGCAAAGCUAUGAGAGGCCGCAGUGAAGAGUCUCAGGCGACUGUUUAACAAAAACACAGGUCUAUGCUAAGCUGUAAGGCGACGUAUAUGGGCUGACACCUGCCCAGUGCCGGAAGGUUAAGAGGAGGAGUGAGAGCUCCGAAUUGAAGCCCCGGUGAACGGCGGCCGUAACUAUAACGGUCCUAAGGUAGCGAAAUUCCUUGUCGGGUAAG